rnacentral:rRNA from 1 species
GUAGGUGGCAAGCGUUGUCCGGGAAUUAUUGGGGCGUAAAGCGCGCGCAAGGCGGUUCUUUAAGUCUGAUGUGAAAGCCCACGGGCUCAACCGUGGAGGGUCAUUGGAAACUGGAGAACUUGAGUACAGAAGAGGAAAGCGGAAUUCCACGUGUAGCGGUGAAAUGCGUAGAGAUGUGGAGGAACACCAGUGGCGAAGGCGGCUUUCUGGUCUGUAACUGACGCUGAGGCGCGAAAGCGUGGGGAGCAAACAGGAUUAGAUACCCUGGUAGUCCACGCCGUAAACGAUGAGUGCUAAGUGUUAGGGGGUUUCCGCCCCUUAGUGCUGCAGCUAACGCAUUAAGCACUCCGCCUGGGGAGUACGGCCGCAAAGGCUG